CAGCGGGCCAUGACAAGCUCCAGGCUUUGGUUUUCGCUGCUGCUGGCGGCAGCGUUCGCAGGACGGGCGACGGCCCUCUGGCCCUGGCCUCAGAACUUCCAAACCUCCGACCAGCGCUACGUCCUUUACCCGAACAACUUUCAAUUCCAGUACGAUGUCAGCUCGGCCGCGCAGCCCGGCUGCUCAGUCCUCGACGAGGCCUUCCAGCGCUAUCGUGACCUGCUUUUCGGUUCCGGGUCUUGGCCCCGUCCUUACCUCACAGGGAAACGGCAUACACUGGAGAAGAAUGUGUUGGUUGUCUCUGUAGUCACACCUGGAUGUAACCAGCUUCCUACUUUGGAGUCAGUGGAGAAUUAUACCCUGACCAUAAAUGAUGACCAGUGUUUACUCCUCUCUGAGACUGUCUGGGGAGCUCUCCGAGGUACCCCUGAGCAGAAGGCUCUGGUGAUUGGUGGAGAGGCUUGUAUGUGGGGAGAAUAUGUGGACAACACAAACCUGGUCCCCAGGCUCUGGCCCAGAGCAGGGGCUGUUGCCGAAAGGCUGUGGAGCAACAAGUUGACAUCUGACCUGACAUUUGCCUAUGAACGUUUGUCACACUUCCGCUGUGAAUUGCUGAGGCUGCAAGGGAGACGAAUGUGUCUGAGGCUCAGGGGUAAGAAAGUGGUUAAAGACACCGAAGACAGAGAUGUGUGAUGGGGCGGGGUGGGAUUGGCUCCGAGGGACUGGCUCGAUAGUGGGAAUAGAGAAGAGGAAUCCCCAUCCACCCCCGCAGGAAACGCACCAGCGUUUGGAGGUGUGUGUGCCUGCGUGUGCCUGCGUUUGCCUGUGUGUGCCUGUGUGUGCGGUGGGGAUUAGCCCCGACUCCGGCAGACACCAUCACGCAUGACGAAGCUGCUUCCCCUCACGCGGCCCAAGGCGCACACGCGCGAUCCACGGCCACGCCCGCACACACUCGACACACACAGGGCAUUCGAGGGUCCGGUUGCCAUGGCGAGCAGGAGCGCGUGAGCCCAGCCGCCCCCCCCGCCCCCGGCGAGCCCAGUCAACUCCCACUCUGAUUGGCGGCUGCUUCCUCAUUAUGCAAAUCAUUUGCGUAGACUCGGCGGCCAGCUGCCUGACGUCACCAAGCACGGGGGCUGGGGCUCGGGGCUCGGCUCUGGGAGAGCUCGGGCGGGAGCCCAGAGAGAGCCGCACGGGGACCUCAAGCCAGACCCCAGCGUUCAGCCGCCACCUCGGCCCGGGCCCGCCCCGCCCCGGCCCCGCCCCUUUCCUGCCCGCCCCACCCCCUCUACGCCCCUCCACCCGGACCCCGCCCCCUGGGCAGCCCCCCGCCCUCUCCGCCCGGGCUCCGCCCCCUCCCCCUGGCCCUCGCCACCGGUCCAGGGAGGGGACGGCGGGACAGGCGGGACCAGUGGGACCGGCGGGAGGGCUGACAGGGCGGGGACAUGGCCGCGGCGCCGGGAGGGUCAGCGCAGCCCGCUGGCCCCGGCCCGCGCCUGGGUUUCAGCACCGCGGACAGCGGCGUCGGCAUGAGCGGGCUAAACCCCGGUCCCGCCGUACCCAUGAAGGACCACGACGCCAUCAAGCUCUUCGUGGGGCAGAUCCCGCGGGGCUUGGACGAGCAGGACCUCAAGCCGCUGUUCGAGGAGUUCGGCCGCAUCUACGAGCUGACGGUGCUGAAGGACCGGCUCACCGGCCUCCACAAAGGCUGUGCCUUCCUCACCUACUGCGCCCGGGACUCUGCUCUCAAGGCCCAGAGUGCACUGCACGAGCAGAAGACCCUGCCAGGGAUGAAUCGUCCGAUCCAAGUGAAGCCAGCUGCCAGUGAGGGCCGAGGAGAGGACCGAAAGCUGUUUGUGGGGAUGCUGGGCAAGCAGCAGGGUGAGGAGGACGUCAGACGCCUGUUCCAGCCCUUUGGCCACAUCGAGGAGUGCACGGUCCUGCGGAGUCCUGACGGCACCAGUAAAGGGCGCCUCGUCCAGCCUCGUGGUCAAGCUGGCGGACACCGACCGGGAGCGCGCGCUGCGGCGGAUGCAGCAGAUGGCCGGCCACCUGGGCGCCUUCCACCCCGCGCCACUGCCGCUAGGGGCCUGCGGCGCCUACACCACGGCGAUCCUGCAGCACCAGGCGGCCCUGCUGGCGGCGGCACAGGGCCCAGGCCUAGGCCCGGUGGCGGCAGUGGCGGCCCAGAUGCAACACGUGGCGGCCUUUAGCCUGGUAGCUGCGCCUCUGUUGCCCGCGGCAGCAGCCAACUCCCCGCCUGGCAGCGGCCCUGGCACCCUCCCAGGUCUUCCGGCGCCCAUCGGGGUCAAUGGAUUCGGCCCUCUGACCCCCCAGACCAAUGGCCAGCCGGGCUCCGACACGCUCUACAAUAACGGGCUCUCCCCUUAUCCAGCCCAGAGCCCCGGCGUGGCUGACCCCCUGCAGCAGGCCUACGCUGGGAUGCACCACUACGCAGGCCCCGAAGGCUGUAACCUCUUCAUCUAUCACCUGCCUCAGGAGUUUGGUGAUGCGGAACUCAUACAGACAUUCCUGCCCUUUGGAGCCGUUGUCUCUGCUAAAGUCUUUGUGGAUCGAGCCACCAACCAGAGCAAGUGUUUUGGGUUUGUUAGUUUUGACAAUCCAACUAGUGCCCAGACUGCUAUUCAGGCGAUGAAUGGCUUUCAAAUUGGCAUGAAGAGGCUCAAGGUCCAGCUAAAGCGGCCCAAGGAUGCCAACCGGCCUUACUGACCUGCUUUCACUGACCAGCCACAGAAAGAAACAGAAGAGUGAGAAGAAAGGAGAGGAAAAGCACAGAAACGCUUGAGCAGCCCUUCCCGAAGGAGCAGCUGCGGACGGAGGUGGAUCGGACCCAAGGCUGGUGCCUGGGGCUAAGGCCACUCUAAGGAUUGUUUUUAUCAAGUGGGUUGUUCUGUGCCUGCAGCAUAGAGCGCAGGCUGGCAGAGCAAAUAGGGCUGGUGAGGAGUGACUGUCCAGGGGAACCAGCAGAGGGCGUUGGGGGUGCCAAGGGCUUCUCCGCAAGGGAAGCCCAGAUUUACUUCUUUCAAAAUCAUAUCAUUCCUUAGAGUUUAGGGACCAAAGGACUAUUGCUUUUUUAAGAAUAUAUAUAUCUAUAUAAAUUAAAACAAAGAAACAAACAAACAAAAAACAAGACAAACAACUACAAAAAAAGACAGUAUAGAGUCUCAUAAAAGCUGCCUUUAAAUAUCCCUAGGAGACAGGGUGAAGGAGACCCUUGACAGCCCCAGCCUAGGCAGAUGGGGGCUGUGGAAAGAUUGUUCUGUGUCUCAUUCCCUCUUAAGCCACUCCCCCACCCUGCCCUUUUAAAAAUAAUUAAGGAUUUGAGGUCUAGGCUCACAUGCAGGUAAUGAGAACGUUAUGGAAGCAGUGAACCCACAAUCCACAAUCCCCAAACUCAGAGUGCAUCCCAGAAGAGGCCCCAGGCAGAGCUCAGGUUGGCCCUGGCCUUUGCCAUCCCGGGAGGCCCCCUAGCCAGCAAGAGUGGGAUUGCCUUUCCUGUGGAACCACUGCUUCCCCAGGCGGGAAGAAAGAGGGAGUUCUGGCCACCUGAGCCUUUCCCUUGCCAAUCCAGGUAGACAGAGGCCCUGCCUUUGGCUGAGCUGAGACACCUCCUGUUUCCCUUCCCCUUGAACCAGUCCCAGUGUCCCCUUGCUCCAGGCUACCUUCUGUCUCUUAGUCUAAGUUUGCCCACCUGUAAAGUAGAUUCAGGAUAUCUGUAGAGGGCUGUGACAACAGACUUGGAAGGUUUGCUACUGUAUAUACUGCCAUUGAGAAGGGGAAAUUUUUCAAUAUGUAGAAGCUUCAGAAUUAGAGGUCCCUCUUUACCCCAGACCUGGGAGGGAAGUAGAUGUUUUGCCAAAAUACUUCUUCAUUCCUUUAAAAACUACAUCUUUCCUAUGCAAGAGUGUCUCACAUGUGCUUAACCGAGGUGCUUCUAGUUGGUGAGCAGUGUUGAGCUUAGAAGUGGUGUGUGCUCUGUCUGUCUGUCUUUGUCUGUCUGUUGUAUACAGUGGGUGCCAUAUAAAGCUGAUCAAUGGUGGUGCUUCCUGCCUGCUUCUGUGAGAUGGGCAAAAGAUUCAGCUUAGAACACCAUGACUCACCUUGCCUUGGUCAGCCUUUCCUGGGCCUGUAGGGCCUUGCACAUAUUUUUCCCAGGAGGAUUUCCCCUCCACCCCACAGGCAUGGAUCAGCUUGGUCUGAGGCCCCAGCUGUGUGGGGUCCCUCUAAUCCCCAGAUGUUGCUGAGGCUGAAGGCCUCUGAUCUGAUAACAUGUCAGAUAGUAAAAGAUGUGGGGGUGGGGGUGGAGGGCUCCUCCUUCAUAACAGUUUCUAAGAAAACUUGUUCCCACCUGUU
rnacentral:lncRNA from 1 species